rnacentral:lncRNA from 1 species
AGAAGUAAACAUCGCAGUUUGCUGUCAAAUUGUUUGGAAAACACUCUGUUCGAAGAAUACUGGUUAUUGUCAAGUGAAUCGUGUAUGUGCUGAGGAGAAUUGUGUUAUUUGCGACAGAAAGACGAACGUAAAAUAGCAACAUUGGGUGAAAAAAGGUGUAGAUAGUUAAUUUCUGCAGCCAGGAAUAAAGGAGAAUGUAUGUAGGCCUGAGAAAAUUGUGUGCUAUGAGUGUAGAAAAAUUACUGCCACCCGAAUCUACUUGGAGAUGCAAACGGUACCUCUAUAACGUGGCGAAACGGACACAUUCAUCUGACUUCUUUUCAUUCCAAAUGCCUGUUCUGUGUUACAGAUGCCAAACAAAAUGACAAAAAGGCAUAUGAUGACUUCAAAAUUUCAGUCAAAAAUAAAGAAAAAUUGGACGCGAAGUUUUCUGUUGACUCUAAUCCGUACAUGAUCUAACAGCAGUUGGUGCAAGAUACCAUCAAAAGUGUAGCACACAUUUCAGAACAGCAUGUCAAGUUCCGACUCAAUAUCAAACACCUCAAAAUACUGUAAAACGUAGUGAAGGUAGACCAACAAAAGAAUCAUCUGAGGAGGCAUUUUUGAAAACCAUGCAUUAUUUUGAAAACACUGAAAGUGAGCAAAUAGCUUAAAUUGUUAAAUGAUACCAGGCAGAAUAUUUGUAAAUAAACACUCUUAACAUGAUGAUAUUGAAACAGCCAGUAGUACAUGUAUAUCAUUCAUAAUUACGUUUGUACAAAGGUAAAACAAAUGAAACAUUAAAAGCAAUGAGGUACAGAAACAUUUCAUUACGAAGGCAACAAGCACAUCGGUAGUAAAGAUACAGAGCCUAACUCCUACAGAGUCAACUGCAAAGUUUCAUACUUUUAGAGUGCACUGCCAUUAAAGUAGAGACAUGGAUUGAAAAGGAAACGAACCCUCUUGACUUGGGAUGGUACAAACGUGGUGAUAAACUUGUUCCUUGGCACAGAGGUUGCUCUACUGGGAUGGCUGUAGAUGUCAUGACAUUAACACUUAACUGACUUUCAUAAUCUUGAGAGAGCAAUAAAAAGUUGUUCGAACUCGUGAAUUUACAGUUAACAUGUUUUUAAGAAUCAUGUCUUAUUACUAAGGACAACAUACUAACUUAAUAAUAUAGCAUAUUUUUACAGUAUAUCGCGUUUUGUCCUCACAUUUUUGUAUAUUACGGCUUUGUGUACAUUUGCUGUUAGCUGAAAAUUGUAGUUUAGUAUCGAUUUUAAAACAGUUUUAACAUUUUACUGUAGUGACCUGUUCUGUAUAUACUAUAGUACAGUCACAGUUGAUCUGGGAUUCUUUUCCUUAAUGUUUCUUAAUAUACUGUUGUUGAUAUUAUAACAUUGAUUACAUUUAGUGCGAGUUUCAAGGAAAUAGUUUAAAGAUAUUGCAUGCACGUUUUAUUGGUGGGCGGAUCCGCCCGCUUAGCUCAUUGGGAAGAGCACCGAUCUACGGAUCGCGGGGUCGUGAGUUGGAUCCUUGGGCGGGCCGUAUGUUCUCCAUGACGAUUUGAUAAAAGACAUUGUGUCUGAAAUCAUUCAUCCUCAAUCUCUGAUUCAUGUGGGUAAGUUGGUAGUUUCUUACGGAUAACUGAUUUGUACAGGUACAGAAUCUAGGAACACUGGUUAGGUUAACUGCCUACCGAUACAUAACUGAAAUACUGUUUAAAAACGACGUUAAAUCCAACAUAAAUAAAACUGAUGGGUGGGGUAAAUCUAUAGUGUAAAUUAAUGCAUUUAUUAGUAAAUGUCACAACAAAGCUUAGUAUCAGCUUUAAUUUAUAUGAUAUUUUAUAUAAUCAAUGCCUCUGAUUGA